rnacentral:SRP_RNA from 1 species
AAGCGGGCUAGGGGGAGUGGUGACGUGCUCUAUAUCACAAAUCGUCAAUAUGGUGACCCGAAGUCAGAGGGCGGCGGAGACGAUUUACGCAUGUGUCAUCGGUUAACUGAGAUACCUCGCCCCCGAGAGAUCGAGGUUGAUAGAGGCAAACUCCGGAGGGAAUUUGUGACUAUGUUACCCGGGAAUCAGGUCAGGCGCGGAAGCGAGCAGCCCGACUGGGGACUCUGGAUGCCUCGGGAUAGCGGGGUUGAGAAGAUCGAUGGGUGAGCAUCCGUAAUUACGACCGUCCACCAAUGACGCGCCCACUC